UUGAUGCCCACAAUUUCAAUUCUUGGACAGGAGAGGAUGUUACAGGGGGGUUUUGGACAUCUUCCUGGUGGAAAGCCAAGGCCAAAAAGGGUUUUAAGGACUUAACUUGCAGCAGAGGGAUUUCAUGUGAGCAAAAAUGUGACAGUCACAUCUUGCAUCCUAUGUAAUUGCUGCCAGGAGAUGUUUAAGAACAACAUUCCCUGUUUUCCUACUUUACUGUUCUCCAAAGGAGGGAAGCUCAUUACAGAGCCUAAUGUAGUGCUGCUUUGCUGGAUAUUUAUGUCUCAGAUUCUUAAUUUCAAGUACAAGGCUUAUUCAGAGAAGAGGGGAUGAGUGAAAUGCAGUCUUUUCAUAUGCUACAAUACCAAGUGCACUGGUCCAAACAUCCAGAAAUUGAAGGGAAUCCCACCUGAAAUUUGAGGAGCAACUGUCUGCUCUGGAGCCAGGACUGCUCUGUAUUCCAGUUAGUGACCUACAUGAAAGAACUGAGACCAGAUUUUUCAGGAGCUGUCUUGUAGAACAAGCCUAUCAAUCAUUUCUCACCUCAUAACAGCGUUGAGAAAGAACCACUAGAUUUUGCAACACGAGUUGUACAAGCAGCCCAGUACAGGUGCAAUCUUAUGGGAGAGAGCUCCUACCCAUGUACCCAGUGGAUAACUUCCCCAUUGCUCCUGGGAGUCUGGCACAGAGCUCUUUGCCAGGUGCUUUCACAACCGUGUGAGGCUUCAUUGGCUGAUUCAAGUCAAGAAAUUCAGAGUGAUGAAAGUGCCUUCCAUGUGGUCAUCUUGUUUUAAGGAUGGCAAGGAACUCCCAGCUUCAGGACCUAUUCAGUUAUACAACAGCAUGUGCUAAUCCACGCUCAUCUCUUUGGCUGCCAGGAUAGAAACUCAACUAACUGCUGUGAAAAAUUCCAGGAUCAUGCCAAAUGUAGCUGUUCUAUGCACGUCUUUGAGCAAGAUACUACCCAAAUGAACAAUGGAUCACCUUUUCAGCUAGCAGCCUUGUUGUGCAAGAUGCUGGAGACCUUGGAUGAAGCACUGCUUUACUGAGGAGGCUCCUAAACUAGAUUUGGAACAGUUUAAUGUUGCUAAGUGUAGGAAUUCAGAAUUCAGUGUCCAUAAUGGAAAAGCAGGAUACAGAACAAACUCAGGAUAAGUGCAGCGAUCAGUCCGCAUGAGAACCUCAGAGGUGGCUGAGAAGAUACACGAGGUUAAACUGGGCACUUAAAAACACUAUUCAAGCAGAAAAUCAUGCUCAAGUUUCAUAGGUGAGAGCAGGACAUCUGACUGCUAAAUCUGCA
rnacentral:lncRNA from 1 species